CAAGGCCUCUUCCACAUUCUCCAACUCCAAUGGCGAAAUAUCUUUGGAAUACAGACAAAACCCCACACUGUAGAUCCAACGCCAGUCGUUGAAUCCUCCUGCGCUUGCAUCGGGCCCCCCUUUCGAUCUCUCUCUGAGAGCAAAGUCAUCAACACGAGAGGGAAUUGAAGAUUUAGGGCAGUCUUUUUUGGGGGGAGAUUUGGGAUAUUGCGAUGGUGUUGGUAGUAAAACAGUACCGCUGCAUGCACUCUCCAACGUGCUUAUGCACAAAGGGUCAUCUUAGUGAAGAUGUAAUUUUCCUUGUAUUUCAACGUCUAAACUGGAAUCCUAGAAUGAUUGCCUUGAUGUCAUGUGUCUGCAAAUGGUUUGAUGACAUUGCAAAGAGGGUUUUGUGGAAAGAAUUUUGUAGGACAAGGGCUCCUAAAAUGAUGUUAGAUCUUCAAUCCAGUGGAAGCCAUAGUGUUGAUGGGAACUGGAAAGCACUUGGGAAGCUACUUGUUUAUUGUUCAGGAAGAGGUCUAUUUAGUAGAAUCCGCGUACCAGGCCACUUUGUUUAUAGGACAAGGUUUUCCAGAACAUCUGGGAAAAGUUUUCUUAUUCCUCAAUGUCGAACGGAUGUUUUGUAUGUGUCAGACCCUUGUGAACAUCUUGACCAAGGAGAGCAGGGCGAUGUGGGAUUUUUUCGUGGGGUUUUCGUGUCAUUUUCUGUAUCAAGAGUUAGGAAGAUGCUAAUUGAUCGUGAUGCCAAGUUACAUCCUACUGAGGUGUGUCCAUAUUGCAAGGCAAAGCUUUGGAACAUGCUGCAGGCAAAGAUGAUUCCUAGAAGCGCUUCCUGCAGAUUGGGUGCCUAUGAGGACUGUGUGGAGUAUUAUGUGUGCCUCAAUGGUCAUAUGCUUGGGAUUUGCACUCUUUUACCCCUUUCAGAUUCUGAUGAAGUUUCUGAAUUGGAGUAAGGCAUGGAAAUUGUUUCAGUGUGAGAGGGCUGCUGCAGAAUGAUGUCCAAUCUCAGAGAUGACAUUGGGUGACAACAAUGCUGUGGGGAACAAUGAACUCUGUUUUUUCAGCAAGGAGGUAUAAAACAUUGGCAUUUAACGCUGAGCAAGCAAGCUAGGGGGUUGCUUUCCGGGGUUGCCAAACGUUUCUUUGACUGGAAUUUGUUGAUGCUCUUGUAAUCAUUGUGGCUCUGACUUGAUAUUGCUGAAGGAAAUAAGAUGACAUAUAAUCAGGGUUGUUGAUAUCCACCCUCAUAUUUUCAUGUGACAAAUUGCAAAAAGGAGAGGUCUCUCCUUUGGCUUCGUGCAGACUGAAGUGGCUCUUCAGUUUCUCUACUUGUUUGUCCUCUAUCAAAAGGUUUCAUGGUUUCAGCCUGACUCCGAUGUCACGGAUUGGACAUUUUAUUUACCUACAUGCACCUGUAUAGAGUUUGCUCUGCACAGAGAAAUGUACUGCUUUCUUAACUACCUCUGUAUAAAAUUUGCUUCUGUUGUUGUUAUUAUGGACGCAUGUUGAUCAUAGAGUUUAAUUGUAUAUUGAAAUGUUUAUGACGGUUCAUUAUAUGUGACAGUUGUGCUACUGUUUGUGGUCUAAAA